ensembl:lncRNA
UUUCCUGUAUUGUCUGCGACUGUCUGUCGCCAAACCCGCCCAAGUUCGAAAAAAAGAAACAUGUCGGGGAGAAGAGCACUUUGCAAAGAUUCAAACGUGACAUAUGAAGUCACCGUCAACGAUGGAGUUUAUGCUGACUCAACCAUCAUUAAGGACAUCUCUAAACAAGGGAAGUUCGUAGAAGACGAUGAUAGCGACCCACCGGUUGUCUUUUUCUGCGGAGUUGCAAGUUGCCUGUCGGUGACUCGUUGUCUUGGGCUGGGAGUGAGGACGAAAAAAUCAAAUACUCCUGAAACGUGUCAGUGACAAUGUUUUGGUUGGCGAAGAAACUCACUUCUCCGGUACCUGUAAGAAGGAUCUAGGCUGUCUGAAAGUCCACCUGACCUGUCGUGGCUGCAGCUCUCUGCUUGGCAUGGUCUACAUCUCUACACCCAGGAAACUGGACCACAUCAGGUCUCUGUUCUGCCUCAAUGUGACUGCCAUAGAGAGGUGAGCCAUCUAUGUCCUGGGGUCUUCCAGUCAGCAGGUGGCAGCAGUGAGCCCCAAGCAGCAGCCGGUCACUCUGGAGUACAGACAGGCUGUAGAGCGACAACUGGAUGAGAUUAAGGCGGUGACUCUGUCUAUGGGGCAGAGGUUGUUGGUGCUGGAGGGUGACCAGCAGAGUAAAAGUCAGAUGUGAUGAUGCAUCUUGACAGUGAUGGACCACACUACGUCAUGGGGGGGGUGGGUGGUGAGGUCUCUCAUACACACAUCACUAAGUAACUCAACCCCCCCAUGACGCUUCACCCUCUACCCCUCCCUUUGUUAGUUCUGAUGGGGAACAAACAGCCACAACCUGUUUGUUCCACAAGGUUUUAACACCUCUAGCACAAUAAAUGGCGCCCUAUUCCCUAUAUAGUGCACUACUUUAGACCAGAGCCCUAUGGGACCCUAUUCCCUAUAUAGUGCACUACUUUAGACCAGGGCCCUAUGGAACCCUAUUCCCUAUAUAGUGCACUACUUUAGACCAGAGCCCUAUGGAACCC